rnacentral:rRNA from 1 species
UACGUAGGGGGCUAGCGUUGCUCGGAAUCACUGGGCGUAAAGCGCACGUAGGCGGCUUCUUAAGUCAGGGGUGAAAUCCUGGAGCUCAACUCCAGAACUGCCUUUGAUACUGAGGAGCUUGAGUCCGGGAGAGGUGAGUGGAACUGCGAGUGUAGAGGUGAAAUUCGUAGAUAUUCGCAAGAACACCAGUGGCGAAGGCGGCUCACUGGCCCGGUACUGACGCUGAGGUGCGAAAGCGUGGGGAGCAAACAGG